GGGUUAGUAACUUAACAGGUAAAGAAUUAUCUUGUCGAGAUAAUAGAUGCAGGUUCGAAUCCUGCCUAGCUCG
rfam:Blastomyces dermatitidis ER-3 mitochondrial scaffold supercont1.26, whole genome shotgun sequence.